GUGAUCCUGUGAUGAUGACAACUUUCUGUCCAGUAUGGAGGCAGACAGCCAGAUCCUGAUCCUGAGAAGAAUGAAAGAAAAUCCUGUUAUUUCCUGUGAUGUCAGGACACUCGAAUGACUGCAUCCAAAACCACAAACUCUAUCAAUGAAUUCUGGGAAUCUGCAGGGCGUAUAAAUCAAACUUAAUCAGCCACCUGAGCAGUUGGCACUUCCUCCAUCAUCCUGUGAAAGACACACUUUUCCAGGCCUCUCACCCAUUGCAUGCAGAGAAAGCUCCACCUGGAUGGAUCAACAUCUUCUGUGCUGAACCGCCGGCUGGUGAAAGUGACUGCCUGUCUGUCUACCUGCCUGCUGGUUGUUUGACACGCUGAGGCCACGUGGAGGCUCGCUGACGGCCUCUCCCCGCUGACGGUCUUCUGCUGCGGCUGCCGGAGCUGUGGAGGAGCCUCUGGCACGGCUGCAGCUCUGGCUUCUAGAUGAUCUGUAGAAAAUCCAGCCAGAUCGCCAUGUGGGGAUCAACGCCUCAGCUUCGGCAGGGUUGCUGAAAUGCGCUAAAUGCCCCGCUAGCCGCAGCAGACGCCUGCUGUGUGUCUGCGCUUCUCGUCAGGCUUCAUUUAUAUCACACGGCAGGUUGAUGGAGUGCUGAAUCAUCCAUCAAGAGCACAAGUAUUUACUUUGAUUCCAGUAAAAUAAAGGCUGAUCUGAAGCUGCUGACCUGGACUUUUGCUCUUGAGCCAACAUGGCAAAGUAAGAGAGAGUGCAUGGUAGUGGUUGUGUGUGAUUGCAUACUUGAGUAUUAGUCCAUACCAGAGUUUGACCAGUACUGACUGGUUGAUACUGUUUAUACCUGCAAGUGGCCGUUAAUCUAUGGGACAAUAAUUUGACU